GAGUUUGAUGAUGGCUCUGAAUGAACGCUGUUCAAAUGCCUUACACAUGCUAAUCGUACGUAAGUAAUUAACAAAAAAUUAAUUACAAAAGUGGUGUACAGGUGAGUAAAUGAUCUAUUGGUUACCUUAAAGUGAGGGAUAAAAUACCUUAUAAUAAAAGGAGUAAUCUGCUUUAAGAUACUAGUUGUAUCUCGGGUAGGUAGUAGGAGAGGUAAUUGCUCAACUAGCUUAACAUCCCGUAGUCGAGUCUGAAAGGUCGAUCGACCACAUUGGAUAUGAACAAAAUUCAAUACAUAAUAGUACAGCAGUGGGGAAUAUUGGUCAAUAGCCGAAAGGCUGAACCAGCAAUUUGAAGGAAUGGCCUUAGAAAUAAGGGGGGAUAGUAUGUAUGUGUGAAAAUAUGUACAUAUGGGUCCAAGCCUUGGCCAAAAGCCUAGGAUUAAAGUUCUGGAUAGAAUAAUGAUAAUGACAAUUUUCUAUUCAAGUGUCUUGACAAACACAUGUGCCAGCAGUCGCGGUAAGACAUGCAAGACUAGUGUUAUUCAUCUUUAAUGGGUUUAAAGGGUACCUAGACGGAAGUUCAAGCCUGCGAGGGGACUGAAUUUCUAGAGUUUUAUGUGAGAAGGGGAGUACUACUGGUGGAGAGAUGAAAUUUGAUGAUACCUUUAGGACUGGUAAAGGCGAAGGCAACCUUUUAAGUAAAAACUGACGUUGAGGGACGAAGGCUUAGGUAACGAACAGGAUUAGAGACCCUAGUAGUCUUUGCAGAAAACGCUGAAUGCUAUAGGUUAGAAAAAACUUUUUUUUGGUCUAUAAACGAAAGUGUAAGCAUUCCACC
rnacentral:ncRNA from 1 species